CUAACUCCGUGCCAGCAGCCGCGGUAAUACGGAGGGAGCUAGCGUUGUUCGGAAUUACUGGGCGUAAAGCGUACGUAGGCGGUUACUCAAGUCAGAGGUGAAAGCCCGGGGCUCAACCCCGGAACUGCCUUUGAAACUAGGUAGCUAGAAUCUUGGAGAGGUCAGUGGAAUUCCGAGUGUAGAGGUGAAAUUCGUAGAUAUUCGGAAGAACACCAGUGGCGAAGGCGACUGACUGGACAAGUAUUGACGCUGAGGUACGAAAGCGUGGGGAGCAAACAGGAUUAGAUACCCUGGUAGU
rnacentral:rRNA from 1 species